ACAAACUUGUCUAUGGUUCAAAUGCUUGGAUCAUGAGAAAGUUUUGAAGCCUACCAUGGAAGAAAGAUACAUUUAAUGUUCUGCUGUGAUUGAUUGCAGCAGUCAAACUGUUCUGUCAAAGCCUAAUUGCUUAAGGAGAAUUCGAGGAAUUAUUGAAGAGGGAUGGUUUAUGUGAAGGCCUGCCUGGAGCCCGGUCCACUUGACCGGCCCAACUGGGUCUCUUAUUUCUCGCCCGCGUGUGCUUCACACGUGACGGGCAAUAGCGGCGUCCUCCCAGUUUCCUCCGCGAUCACCGGCGAUUUCCUCUAUGAAUAGGAUCCACUCCCUCCCCAUAGCACUCCAUCAUCGAGCAAUGCCUCUCAUACUCUCUCUUUCUUCCGCUUUCCUCCCUUUGAAAUCGCGAUAUCCUGUCACCAUGCUCGCUGAAAAUCGAGGCAGCCAACGCCACCGGAGCCGAGGUAUUUGUUGCUAAUCCAAAUAAGCCAUGUGAGAUCAUCGAAGUCUUAGCAAACAAUCAUGCAGAAUUGCUGAUGUUGCAUCACAAUCUUCCUACAAGCAAAGAUCCUUUGGUUUUUCCUUUCAACGAGAUUGAAGUAGUAGGUUUCCAGCCCAGCAGUUUAUGGAGAAGAGGGGAAAGUUUGAGGAGAGGAAUAAGAAGAAGAGAGGGGACCUCAUCAUGGCACGCUGGAGCAGGAAUUGAAUCUGCACUUGGCUCUCAUAAAGCCAGAGGAAAACAACCUUUCAUUGCCACAGAAUCCCCCUUUUUGAUCAGCCGAACUUUCCGUAAGUUCCAACACCUCAGACUUUAACAUGUUUAUCAGUAUAACUCUGGUGCACAGAUCCAUAAGACAGAAAAUUUUAGAUACUCGAAGGAUCCAACAUGAACACACUCGCCUGCGCUCAAUACAUGCAUACAAGUCCAUGUAACCUAGGCCUUGUGUUAAUGAAAAGGCAUGUUCUGACAUUAUCACAUCAAGCUCAUAUCUUUACAUAUGUGAUGGUUGUUUCUGAUGAGUUUACUAUGACUCUAAAUAAAAACCAGCAUUAAUAAAACUUAAAUGAGGAAACGAUGUUUAGAGAUAGACUAAGUGUCAAACGCACUGAUAUGAACUGCACAUUGUUAUGCAGCAGAGCACAUAGCUGCAACACUGGUACAAAACGAUACCAACUGAUGUUAAAAAUAAAAUGAUUUUGUGCUGGAUUAUGCUCUACAAAUAGCAUUUAAAAUACUUUCUUCAUAAGGGUGGUGAAUAACGUAGAGAUUCUUUAUUCAAGCUCUUCUCUAAAGAAAAAGAAUAAAGAAUUCAAAUAGCGAUCUAAGAAUGUUUGAUUACAACAAGCUAAGUUGUUUUCGACAGAACCAAUGAUGCAACAUAGGUAAAGGAGAGUAGUUUGCCUUUUGAAUAAGGAUACAUAAUUGAACUGUACAUCUACAAAUUAGAAUGAUAGGACUUGGGUGUGGAAUUGGGCAAGUGUUAAUCUUAUAUGAUAGUAGGAGUCAAGAUAGCCUAUAACUUGUUCGAAAUAGUGCUUAUUUACUACCUAAAAUCAUAACUGAAGGCUGAUUCAUUAGUGUCUCUUUGACAAGAUUAAAUGACAUUUAUAUCUGAAAAGCACCAAGAUUGAAGGAGUCUUCAUUUAGCUAACUUAAAGGUUUAGAAAGAUACAUGGUAUCAAAAGCUAGAGUAGGAGCAUUUAGUGUGCUUAGAAUUGUCUAGGUGGAGGAUUGGGAGUGCCAUCAUAAUAUCAAAGCAAGUAUAGUACCAAAGGUUUGCCUAUUGAGAUAGGCCACCACAUUGAAACAUUUAUAUGGAUUUAACCUUUGGCCAUCUUAUUAGACUGGGAAAAACAUAUGAUAGGGCCAUGAAAUAAAUUUUUGUUACUGGCUUGUUGUUUCAAAGUCUCUGAAGCAUAGAAAGUGUAGUUUGGUGAAGUCAUUGACCUAGACUCUUGCAUAGAUGUUUGCUUUGCAUGGCCAAAUUUUUCUGGCCAGUUCUACUGUUGGAAAAAAGGGAGGUGAAGUGUCAGUUUUGGGCCUUAAAUUAGCAUUUAAUUAUCAUCAAAAUCAGUUGCUCAGCGGAUCCAUUCAUAUUGGGGAAGUGGGAAAUCGGGCAGCAAGCUAUGAUUAAAUGGCCCAUCCGCUCAUGUCAAACUUAAUUUAGUGUCGUUGUUAUCUAGACAUGGGUCUUGAGUGCUAAAUGUUCAAGUGUCAUAGGAAUCCGGCACAAUAGUUUUAAAAAACAUUAGACAUGGGGACAUGUCUAUACCUGUACAUAAAUUUUGUAUAUGCAUAAUACAUAUACAUAAAAUAUAAAUCCUACGGAAUAUAUUUAAAAAUGCGGUAAAUAAGAUUUUUGAUAAAUUUUGUUGGCAAAACCAUUAUUUUGGCCUAAUAGUCUAGAAAGUGGAAGUGUUUUAUAGCUGUCGAGUAAAGAAUAAAUACUCUGUAGUCUUGAUAGCCCCGAGUGACAUUGAUGUGUCAUUCAAUUAGUGGGUCAAACUGUCACGCCCCGAAUCGGUCACCUGGGUCAGCCAUGUGACACAGCCACAUACACCCUAAAAGGCCCCAGAGAAUAUGCAAGGCUUCAAAAUUUAUUACAACCUCAAUAUCACUAAACAAUAAUGAUCUCAAUUCAUAACAAAUAACAAUACUUAUACAAUUACAAAUUUAUUCAUACAACCGGUAACAAUGAUGCUUUAUCCCUUUUAUCUGUGAUCUCAACCAUAGCCAAGUAUUAAAAAAUCUGCAACUCUAAAAAUAAGAGAAAAAGAAGAUUGUGAGCUUUAUAGCUCAGUAAGAAUUUUUACACAUUCGCACUAAUAUAGUAAUAUAGUUUGAAAAUAUCAAUAAGCAACACCAAAAUGAAAAUAUAAAUUAUGAAAUCUUUUUUCAAACAUCCAAUAUAACUUAAUUAAUUGACAAAUAUCCAUAUACACAUGCAUCAAGUAUCCGGCUUAUCAAAAAAGAUAUAUCAUAAAUAUCAAUAUGUAAACCUUUUAUUCAGCAUUCAUUUCAUUUGUCUUAUCAUUCGUUUCUCAUUAUCUUAAUUUCAAGUUCCAUAGCAAUUAUUUUUCUGGUUUAGACUAACCCAGUCCAAGACUGCUAAACAAAAUCCCACGCAUAAGCUCGUGGAGACUGUUCCACGCGUAAGCCCAUGGAGGCUGUCCCACGCGUAAACUUAUGGAGGCUAUCCCACGCAUAAACUUAUAGAAGCGGUCCCAUGUGAAGCCCAUGGAGGCUAUUUCAUGACGAGGAGGGUCAGUUUUUUUUGUUAAGUUGCAAAGGCAAGGGUUUCUUGGUGUACAGCCAUACAUCAUCAGCAUCCUAGCUAGGACCUUCACAUUGUUCAAUGAUGCAGAUUUGUCAGAAGUGAAGAUGAGCAACUUGAAAAGGAGAGAGAUUUAAUAAUCAAGGAGAUUGAAAGACUUUCAUAUCUAUCGCAGGCAGCUGCUUAGUAAAAAUGUUUUGAGUUUAGAUGUUUUCCUGGUUUUUUCCUUAAUCGUCCAUGCUUGGAUCUAUGAUAGCUCUUGAUUGUGAAAGCAUUUAUGUUGAAUUAAUCUGCCCACUAAGAAAAAAUGGUUUGUUGA